rnacentral:misc_RNA from 1 species
GAUGAAGAACGUAGCGAAAUGCGAUAAGUAAUGUGAAUUGCAGAAUUCAGUGAAUCAUCGAAUCUUUGAACGCACCUUGCGCCCUUUGGCCAUUCCGAAGGGCAUGCCUGUUUGAGUAUCAUGAACACCUCAACUCUCAUGGCUCGCCAUGAUGAGCUUGGAUUUGGGGGUCUUGCUGGCCUGUGGUCGGCUCCUCUCAAAUGGAUCAGCUUGCCAGUGUUUGGUGGCAUCACAGGUGUGAUAACUAUCUACGCUUGUGGUUUUCCACCAGGGUAACCUUCAGCAGUGGAGGUUCACUGGAGCUUACAAAUGUCUCUCCUCUGUGAGGACAGCCCUUUGAAUGUUUGAUCUCAAAUCAGGUAGGACUACCCGCUGAACUUAAGCAUAUCAAUAAGCGGAGGA